UACGAAGGGGGCUAGCGUUGCUCGGAAUCACUGGGCGUAAAGGGUGCGUAGGCGGCUUUGUAAGUCAGUGGUGAAAUAUGGCAGCUUAACUGUCAAGGUGCCAUUGAUACUGCAGAGCUUGAGUACAGAUGAGGUAGGCGGAAUUGACGGUGUAGCGGUGAAAUGCUUAGAUAUCGUCAAGAACACCUAUAGCGAAGGCAGCUUACUAAGCUGUAACUGACGUUGAGGCACGAAAGUGUGGGGAUCAAACAGG
rnacentral:rRNA from 1 species